AUGGUAGCCAUAAGCAAGAUCCUGGCUUGCAGGUAAAGUUCAAAGGGCCAAAAGCAGGUUAGGGGCCAAUGAUCAACUCUGGCAUAUAAGGAUGGGCAGCAGAAUGCAUAAAAGGAUUUUGCAGAAAUGAAAAUACUCUUCCUAGCCAUUCUUAAGAGGUUGUGUUGAACACGAAAAAACCUUAAAGGCCAAAACUGGCUACCUAUGGGAAUCAGAAUCUCAUGGAAAACUGCCAAGUGCUAUAGCCAGUGAGCGACACUGUCCAGUAUAAUUCUCAUCUCUGCAUUUCACCUCCAAGUGAUCAACUGGCAAGACUGGGAACAUGGACACUCAAGGAAAUUACUGAUAUAUCAUCACAAUAGUCUAAAAUAUUUAUACAUGUAGAGGAAUAUAAUUUUUGAUUUUUAUUGUAGCACAGAUCAUUUUGUUACAUUUAUAGCCAAUUAAUCUAUAAUAAUUAUAGUCAUGAACAUGAUUUUUCUUUAUUUUUCUUCAAAAAAUGAUAUUUUAAAUGAAGUCUUAAAAAAUUCCAUGUGUUGACAAAAGAAAGCAAAAGAUAAUGAAUAUAUAUGAAUAUAUUGUCAGUUGUGCCCCAACAUGCUACUAAUAAAGAAUGUUGCCAUGAAUCUGAAUUGCCAUGUAGU